AGUCAUGGCUUUCACCAAGCUGAAAAACAAGCUUUAAUGUGAAGAUCCACACAAGACCAAACUUGAUGAGAAACGUGGGGUGUUGCUAUGGCAAUUCCAUUUGCUGGAACUUUUCUCUGUUGGCUUCACUCUGACAUUACAUUCUAAAAAGAAUCACAUGAAAAGGUGUAUUGGCUGUGAAGACAAAUGUGAAGCCAAGAAGAUGGAAAUUUCUCAUCUUUCCUUCUCUAGAAGACAGAACAUGUAGUUAUAUUGUAAUGCCACCCCAAAUACAGUCAGAGGGCUGGCUGGAGAGUUGUCAUUCUGAGAUUUCAUUGAAACGCUGGGGUCUAUUUCUGUUUGACUUAAGUGCAAAAUUGGCAGUGUCAGGGUUAUGAGUGAAAUUACAAUGUGAAGAAAAAUGCUUAGGCUAAACUGAAAAAUAUUAAGGUGCUGACUCCCAAGAAAAACGAAGCUCUGCUUCUUGUGAUUGUGGUUGUAUUACUUUAUUUUUAACAGAAUGUUGAUAUAUUAAAAUCUCAUUUAUAUGUAAGCUAAUAAAGCAAAUGAACCCAUGUUUGAACAUCUCUGGUGGAGAAGGGAGUUUUGUUAACUCAAUGCUGUUUCUUUGCAGAUAGACCUUCCUUUUGGAGGAUAUUAAUCAAAUUGUUUUAAGCAGCCAACUCAAUCAGAAUCUGAUUGUCAAACACUUUUUCCUGACUAAUAACUUGAACUCUUCACAAACAGCACUAUGAAGUAAACUGUAUUAUCAUCUCCAUUUUACAUAUGAAGAAAGGGAGGUGCAGAUAGAAGUAACAGAACUAAUGUCAAUCACUGACAAGAAAGGAAAUCUCUACCAGAUAUAUCCCCCAUUGCCCACCUGAGACAAGGAAGCGGUUGUAAGUCUUGCAAGGUGCUGGAGAAAUAUUUCUGUCUUACUGAGGUAUAAUGAAGAAAGUGCACAGAGGGUAGUGCUCAGCUAAACACAUCCAUAUCAGGAGCCCCCAGGUGAAGCAACUUGAAACUAAACCAGCUCUCCAAAGCCGCUAAUUUCCUUUUACAAGUUCUCAAGACAGUGUUGCUAUAAAAGCUGUCUGACCAUGCCCAGCUCUCUCCGACUUCCUGUAUGAAGAUGUGAUUGCUCUUGCAAGAGAUUCCACUAGUGUCAUCCACCAUGAUGCGGCACAGCCGAGAGAGCCCUUGUCAGAACUGAGAAGAUACCACACCCUGGAACUUUCAGAACUGUGAGCUAAAUAAAUGUCUGCACUCCAUAAAUGGACUGCCUUGGGUAUGUCAUUGUGGGGACACGAAGCUAAUACAGAAGCCUCUUAGAGUCUGUUGGAAGCACGCUGAAGGAGAAAAGUCAGGCAGUGACUGAUGACACAACACCUAUCUCAGUACUCUUGAGUCACUCUUGGAAGGAAAACGUACUAAACUGCAGUAGUAAUUGGAAGCCAGAAAAGUUGGUCAAGUGCUCAGUAUUAAAGCUACUCUUACAGAUGAGAAGUCACACAAAGAUAGAGGUAAUCAACACUUUUUGAUGGAUGAGAGAAGAUUCCGGUAAAGACACCAAACCUGAGGCUCGCCUACCAAAUACCAGUUUGGUUUUCUAUUUUGCCAAUUCAAUUUUGAUUCUUUCUUUCGUGAUUCUGGAUGGAGACCCGUUGGAGUGCAGUGCAAAAAAUCAGAGGAAGAAUCAAUUGUCUUAAACCAAUAUUGUCUGUGGCACGUUGUUGCCAAGCUAGGAAACUUCAGCCUCAGAAAACUUGCAGAAAAAGACACAAUCAUAGUGCGCCUGUGUGGAUGGAGCCAUAGAAGCAAACUUUGCCUGGGAUUGUGCACACAUAUCUGGGUAUAGAGAUUUUAAUGUAAAAUCUACUUUUCGGAAAUAGCAGAUAGAUGAAUGCGAUUUUCCCAGAUACUAGGAUUCCUUUGUAAUGCCUCGUUCUUACAUCGAUGCUCAAAAUCACUGUUAAAUUAACCUUAUUUGCUGUGGUUUCAGUUUAAUACGAACAGUGAAGUAAAAACACCCCGUGCUCUUUACUAUCUAUUACGCAACCCAAUCUCAUGCUGUUUACCUGGAAAACCUCUAAGGAGGAGUCAAGCUUAAAAGGAAAUUACUCAAAAUGUUUUGUAGCAUGUGGUAUGUCUCAGAGGGAAGUGAUAGAUAUGCCACAUUGGUUUGUUUUUUUGUCUUUUAAGCUGGGCUUGCUGGAGCUAGAGAAGCCGAGUGUGAGAUACCUUACACUUCGGGGGCGGGGGAAGCCUUCCAAGGCAGCCACAUCUGCUCCCCAGAGGAUAUGCUGCACCCUCCCAUGCCUGGGCUUUCAUUCUGCUGUGUUUUGUCAAUAUUCUUAACAAACAGAACUCAGAUUAUACCAUGACAAGGUAUAGAAAAGAGUAGAAAAUGAACUUACAUUCUAAAAUUUGUUUUCGAAAAUGUGCUUAAACAACUCAACACUCUCUAAUAAGUACAUAGUAGGAAUUUGGAUCAGGUGAACCUCAUAUAUAAUUAAUUUCCCUUUCUCUUUUUUUUUUCAUUAUUCAGAGUCUGCUUUUUUUGCUUUUUUUCCUUCCUUCUGCUUACUCUAAAUGGAAAACUAUUUUCUCUACAAUAAUGCAGACAGUGAAUUUUAUAAGUCAGCUCUUCUAUCUAUAUAUAUUAUAGACUCCCAUUAAGCUUUAGGUUCCAGGGUACUACAUGAUUGUGUGUAGAUUUUUAUGAAGAUUAAAUGUGAUCAUAAUAUUUGUGAAGCUCAUGGCAAUUUUUGGACAUAUAACAGGUGUGUAGGAAAUACUACCUAUAAAUUGUACCUGACCCUGACCCCCAAAUUUAAAAAAGCCUCAGGGGACAUAGGUGUUAGGAAACAAUUCAAUUUAAUAAUAGAUUAUCAAAAGUGGUGACGUUGCUUCAGCCAUCAGUUAACAUCAAGGGCAUAAAGACAGGAGUACAACAGUGAAAAUGUCAUUCAUCUGGAAAGAAGAGAAUUAGGAAAUAAUGUUAUAUGCAAAACUGAGAAAAAAAGAGAUAAUAUUGUAGCAAGAGGAAUUGCCAUUUCUUGAGUGUAUGUUGGGUACUAAGCACUUUCUGUGAUUCUCUCUUUUAUUGACUCAGAACAAAUGUGCAGAGGUUUUAUGAUGGUCUACAAUUUCUAUUGGAGGAAACUGGGGCUCCUGGAGUUGGAGAAUCAAGUUCUAGUUAUGUCCGUUUAAAUCACAAAGCACUUUCCAAUGUCCUUAGGAAACCUUUCUCCCAAUGCUUACAUCUCUGCAAUCACACACUGAUACAUGUGAUGUUUGGGCCGGCGCCGCGCCUCACUAGGCUAAUCCUCUGCUUGUGGCGCCGGCACCUGGAAUUCUAGUCCUGGUUGGGGCGCUGGAUUCUAUCCCGGUUGCUCCUCUUCCAGUCCAGCUCUCUGCUGUGGCCUGGGAAGGCAGUGGAGGAUGUCCCAAGUGCUUGGGCCCUGCACCGGCAUGGGAGACCAGGAGAAGCACCUGGCUCCUGGCUUCAGAUCACUGCAGCGUGCCAGCCAUGGCAGCC